rnacentral:rRNA from 1 species
UACGUAGGGGGCAAGCGUUGUCCGGAUUUCUUGGGCGUAAAGAGCGUGUAGGCGGCUUUGCAAGGCCGGUGUGAAAACUCGAGGCUCAACCUCGAGACGCCGGUGGAAACUGCAAAGCUAGAGUCCGGAAGAGGAGAGUGGAAUUCCUGGUGUAGCGGUGAAAUGCGUAGAUAUCAGGAGGAACACCGGUGGCGAAGGCGGCUACCUGGACAGAAACUGACGCUGAGGCGCGAAAGCUAGGGGAGCAAACAGG